rnacentral:lncRNA from 1 species
UGUACUUGGUGAUGUAACUCUUUAACUUCUGGUAUUUCUGUUAAUGACUAGAUAGACAUUUUUUUUUCUUUGGUCUCUUUUGGCUAAAAAGGGGGAGAAGUAGCUGUAGAUGUAACUGAGUAUCUUAGCUUAGCUUUGUAGUAUUAUUGUUGCUCUUCUUGUCUGAUACAGGGGGAUAAUUCUGGUGUUUAUUUGUUUGGUACAGGGGGAGAAUUCUUU